rnacentral:rRNA from 1 species
UAGGGAAUCUUCGGCAAUGGACGAAAGUCUGACCGAGCAACGCCGCGUGAGUGAAGAAGGAUUUCGGAUCGUAAAACUCUGUUGUUAGAGAAGAACAAGGACGUUAGUAACUGAACGUCCCCUGACGGUAUCUAACCAGAAAGCCACGGCUAACUACGUGCCAGCAGCCGCGGUAAUACGUAGGUGGCAAGCGUUGUCCGGAUUUAUUGGGCGUAAAGCGAGCGCAGGCGGUUUCUUAAGUCUGAUGUGAAAGCCCCCGGCUCAACCGGGGAGGGUCAUUGGAGACUAGGAGACUUGAGUGCAGAAGAGGAGAGUGGAAUUCCAUGUGUAGCAGUGGAAUGCGUAGGUAUAUGGAGGAACACCGGUGGCGAAGGCGGCUCUCUGGUCUGUAACUGACGCUGAGGCUCGAAAGCGUGGGGAGCAAACAGG